rnacentral:rRNA from 1 species
AUUGAACGAUGGCGGAAGGAGGAACAAAGGCAAGUCGAGCGGAUGAAGGGAGCUUGCUCCUGGAUUCAGCGGCGGACGGGUGAGUAAUGCCUAGGAAUCUGCCUGGUAGUGGGGGAUAACGUCCGGAAACGGGCGCUAAUACCGCAUACGUCCUGAGGGAGAAAGUGGGGGAUCUUCGGACCUCACGCUAUCAGAUGAGCCUAGGUCGGAUUAGCUAGUUGGUGGGGUAAAGGCCUACCAAGGCGACGAUCCGUAACUGGUCUGAGAGGAUGAUCAGUCACACUGGAACUGAGACACGGUCCAGACUCCUACGGGAGGCAGCAGUGGGGAAUAUUGGACAAUGGGCGAAAGCCUGAUCCAGCCAUGCCGCGUGUGUGAAGAAGGUCUUCGGAUUGUAAAGCACUUUCAGUUGGGAGGAAGGGCAGUAAGUUAAUACCUUGCUGUUUUGACGUUACCAACAGAAUAAGCACCGGCUCCCUUCGUC